UAGCAUGUAGUGAAAGUAGCCAGGACUGCAUUCAAGGUUUUCACCUUUCGGUUCCCUGUUUGCCUCCGACAAGAAAUACAUGGAAGCUGACUUUUCCUCUACCCCAUUGCAGCCAGCACUGCAGCUUGUGUAUGGAAGAGAGAGAUGCUGUUCCUUUGCAGGAGUUGCUGAGGCUGUGCACAGAUGAUCAAGAGGGACAAGAGACACAGGACACUGGCUUAAGGGUAUGCAGAUCACAAAGCUUUUUGAUGAAGAGAACAUGCAGCUGGCUGUUCCAGAAAAAUAAACACCACUUUUAAAUAUCUAGCCCUCUUGCCAUCUCUGAAGAAUUUCUGCCAGCUGAUUUACAGUUUCCCUCUACAUUAUGAAGACUAAUGUGAGAAGAGUUUUAGUUUUGCUGUGAGAAUUCAUCUACUUCUGCCCCUCUUUCCUCAUCUGAAGUCAGUGAAGUGAUGGUUCAGACUUGUCCAAUUACUUAAUCCAAAACUGCAUCCUACUCUCAGCUAGUGCCGAGGUGAUCCAGCAGGCAAGAGGUCUGUGCUAUUCAGUGAAGCAUGUUGAGCAUACUAGAGGUUAACCUCAGGAAUAAAUCUGUUGCUGAAUAAGGGAGAUGAUCUGAACCACAGCCAAAACUUUGUGAUUUGCAGAUCCACCGCUUUACCUGAGUCUUAAAUUAUUUCUGUGUGCUGGGAAUUCUUUUCUGGGAGAUGGAGGAGAACCACAUUUUUCUGCCUUGGUGACCCAGCAGCCUUUUGAGCAAAACAGUGGAAAGAGCCCAUCCUAGACUCCCUACAGGCAGCAGUCUUUGCUUCUUGAAGUUGUUUUCUGUGUGAGCAGUGAGACUGAAGAUUAUUUGUGACCUUCCAUAAAAACCAGAAAACAGUCUGUGGUUGGAAAUAUCAAUGUCAAACAGGUUCAAACUGAAGUUCAAAAGCUCUUAGAAACCCUGCUGGAGACAAAUCCUGGGCUCGGUGGACAUUUGGUGUGAUCAGCUGUGGCUCUCAGUAUUCUAACACUCAUCAUGUGCCUCACUAGUGUCGGGAGAGAUUUGGGCUGUGUACUAAUGGCU